AAAUUGAAGAGUUUGAUCAUGGCUCAGAUUGAACGCUGGCGGCAGGCCUAACACAUGCAAGUCGAACGGUAACAGGAAGCAGCUUGCUGCUUCGCUGACGAGUGGCGGACGGGUGAGUAAUGUCUGGGAAACUGCCUGAUGGAGGGGGAUAACUACUGGAAACGGUGGCUAAUACCGCAUAAUGUCGCAAGACCAAAGAGGGGGACCUUCGGGCCUCUUGCCAUCAGAUGUGCCCAGAUGGGAUUAGCUUGUUGGUGAGGUAACGGCUCACCAAGGCGACGAUCCCUAGCUGGUCUGAGAGGAUGACCAGCCACACUGGAACUGAGACACGGUCCAGACUCCUACGGGAGGCAGCAGUGGGGAAUAUUGCACAAUGGGCGCAAGCCUGAUGCAGCCAUGCCGCGUGUAUGAAGAAGGCCUUCGGGUUGUAAAGUACUUUCAGCGGGGAGGAAGGUGUUGUGGUUAAUAACCGCAGCAAUUGACGUUACCCGCAGAAGAAGCACCGGCUAA
rnacentral:rRNA from 1 species